GGUGGAAAGGCCAUAGCUCAGUGAUAGAACAUCUGCCUUGCAAGCAGGAGAUUUCAGGUUGAACCCCUGCCAUCU